CCUACGGGGUGCAGCAGUGGGGAAUAUUGGACAAUGGGCGAAAGCCUGAUCCAGCCAUGCCGCGUGUGUGAAGAAGGCCUUCGGGUUGUAAAGCACUUUCAGUGGGGAAGAAAGCCUUGGGGCUAAUACCCUCGAGGAAGGACAUCACCCACAGAAGAAGCACCGGCUAACUCCGUGCCAGCAGCCGCGGUAAUACGGAGGGUGCGAGCGUUAAUCGGAAUUACUGGGCGUAAAGCGCGCGUAGGCGGUCUGAUAAGCCGGUUGUGAAAGCCCCGGGCUCAACCUGGGAACGGCAUCCGGAACUGUCAGGCUAGAGUGCAGGAGAGGAAGGUAGAAUUCCCGGUGUAGCGGGGAAAUGCGUAGAGAUCGGGAGGAAUACCAGUGGCGAAGGCGGCCUUCUGGACUGACACUGACGCUGAGGUGCGAAAGCGUGGGUAGCAAACAGGAUUAGAUACCCUGGUAGUC
rnacentral:rRNA from 1 species